rnacentral:sRNA from 12 species
UACCUAAACUAGCGAGAAAUCUCUGGCAUGGUUACAUAAAAUCCUACGCAAAUAGAAACGGCCACAUAAGCCGGCACUUAUUUGCGUAGGUUCGCUCUCGAAAGAGGGCGAGAUAAUUCCGAAAGGAGUUGUC